GGGCGUAAGGGCUCGCAGGCGGUUUCUUAAGUCUGAUGUGAAAGCCCCCGGCUCAACCGGGGAGGGUCAUUGGAAACUGGGGAACUUGAGUGCAGAAGAGGAGAGUGGAAUUCCACGUGUAGCGGUGAAAUGCGUAGAGAUGUGGAGGAACACCAGUGGCGAAGGCGACUCUCUGGUCUGUAACUGACGCUGAGGAGCGAAAGCGUGGGGAGCGAACAGGAUUAGAUACCCCCGUAGUCC
rnacentral:rRNA from 1 species